rnacentral:lncRNA from 1 species
GGGCACUGCCCACGACAGUGACAGACCAGAUAAACCUUGGUUUGUUUUUUUAAUUUUUAUUUUUAUUCUGAGAUGGAGUCUCGCUCUGUAGCCCAGGCUGGAGUGCAGUGGUGUGAUCUCAGCUCACUACAAGCUUCACCUUCCGGGUUCAGGCCAUUCUCCUGCCUCAGCCUCCCGAGCAGCUGGGACUACAGGCGCCCUCCACCACACCCG